GACAGAGGGGGCAAGCGUUGCUCGGAAUUACUGGGCGUAAAGGGCGCGUAGGCGGGAUGGCAAGUCGGUCGUGAAAUCCCUCGGCUCAACUGAGGAAGUGCAUCCGAAACUGGCAGGCUUGAGUACUAAAGAGGGUCGCGGAAUUCCCGGUGUAGAGGUGAAAUUCGUAGAUAUCGGGAGGAACACCGGUGGCGAAGGCGGCGACCUGGGUAGAUACUGACGCUGAGGUGCGAAAGCGUGGGGAGCAAACAGG
rnacentral:rRNA from 1 species